rnacentral:other from 12 species
UUAUAUUUUGCAAAUAUUUUGGGAGACAUUGAUUUUUCUCCCCGUGCUCCCCCGUUCUUCCCUGCGGAGUGCGCUGCGCCGCCCAACCCUGUCGCCCCCCGGAGGUGAUCCCUCCCUCCUGCCUGCCCGCCAGCCUGACCUGUGCCCGGCUCGCGGGCCGCAGCCUCGGCCCCGGCGCGCCCCCGGCAGCUCUCGGCGCGAUG